CGGUUAAGUUAGAAAGGGCGCACGGUGGAUGCCUUGGCACUAGGAGCCGAUGAAGGACGGGACGAACACCGAUAUGCUUCGGGGAGCUGUAAGCAAGCUUUGAUCCGGAGAUUUCCGAAUGGGGAAACCCACCACUCGUAAUGGAGUGGUAUCCAUAUCUGAAUACAUAGGAUAUGAGAAGGCAGACCCGGGGAACUGAAACAUCUAAGUACCCGGAGGAAGAGAAAGCAAAUGCGAUUCCCUGAGUAGCGGCGAGCGAAACGGGACCAGCCCAAACCAAGAGGCUUGCCUCUUGGGGUUGUAGGACACUCUGUACGGAGUUACAAAGGAACGAGGUAGA
rnacentral:rRNA from 1 species